GUGAGCGGAAUGCGGUGAAAGUCGCACGUUCCGUUCUUUGGGGAGGGGUAGACCGUAAGGAAUACUCCUUACCCGAC
rfam:Clostridium grantii DSM 8605 genome assembly, contig: EJ34DRAFT_scaffold00020.20